UACGGAGGGUGCGAGCGUUAAUCGGAAUUACUGGGCGUAAAGCGUGCGCAGGCGGCCCGUUAAGCCAGAUGUGAAAGCCCCGGGCUCAACCUGGGAACGGCAUUUGGAACUGGCGGGCUGGAGUUGGGCAGAGGGGGGCGGAAUUCCGGGUGUAGCGGUGAAAUGCGUAGGUAUCCGGAGGAACACCAGUGGCGAAGGCGGCCCCCUGGGCCCAAACUGACGCUGAGGCACGAAAGCGUGGGUAGCAAACAGG
rnacentral:rRNA from 1 species